UACGGAGGGUGCGAGCGUUGUCCGGAAUCAUUGGGCGUAAAGGGCGCGUAGGUGGCCCGGUCAGUUUGUGGUGAAAGCGCGGGGCUCAACUCCGCGUCGGCCAUGAAUACUGCUGGGCUGGAGCACUGUAGAGGCAGGCGGAAUUCCGGGUGUAGCGGUGGAAUGCGUAGAGAUCCGGAAGAACACCGGUGGCGAAGGCGGCCUGCUGGGCAGUAGCUGACACUGAGGCGCGACAGCGUGGGGAGCAAACAGG
rnacentral:rRNA from 1 species